rnacentral:rRNA from 1 species
CCUACGGGUGGCAGCAGUGAGGAAUAUUGGUCAAUGGACGAGAGUCUGAACCAGCCAAGUAGCGUGAAGGAUGACUGCCCUAUGGGUUGUAAACUUCUUUUAUAUGGGAAUAAAAUGUUCCACGUGUGGGAUUUUGUAUGUACCAUAUGAAUAAGGAUCGGCUAACUCCGUGCCAGCAGCCGCGGUAAUACGGAGGAUCCGAGCGUUAUCCGGAUUUAUUGGGUUUAAAGGGAGCGUAGGUGGAUUGUUAAGUCAGUUGUGAAAGUUUGCGGCUCAACCGUAAAAUUGCAGUUGAAACUGGCAGUCUUGAGUACAGUAGAGGUGGGCGGAAUGCGUGGUGUAGCGGUGAAAUGCUUAGAUAUCACGAAGAACUCCGAUUGCGAAGGCAGUUCACUGGACUGCAACUGACACUGAGGCUCGAAAGUGUGGGUAUCAAACAGGUUUAGAUACCCUUGUAGUC